rnacentral:rRNA from 1 species
GAUGAACGCUGGCGGCGUGCUUAACACAUGCAAGUCGAACGAUGAUGCCCAGCUUGCUGGGUGGAUUAGUGGCGAACGGGUGAGUAACACGUGAGUAACCUGCCCUUGACUCUGGGAUAAGCCUGGGAAACUGGGUCUAAUACCGGAUACGACCAUCUGGCGCAUGUCAUGGUGGUGGAAAGCUUUUGUGGUUUUGGAUGGACUCGCGGCCUAUCAGCUUGUUGGUGGGGUAAUGGCCUACCAAGGCGACGACGGGUAGCCGGCCUGAGAGGGUGACCGGCCACACUGGGACUGAGACACGGCGCAGACUCCUACGGGAGGCAGCAGUGGGGAAUAUUGCACAAUGGGCGCAAGCCUGAUGCAGCGGCGCCGCGUGAGGGAUGACGGCCUUCGGGUUGUAAACCUCUUUCAGUAGGGAAGAAGCGAAAGUGACGGUACCUGCAGAAGAAGCGCCGGCUAACUACGUG